rnacentral:lncRNA from 1 species
UAUCUUAUGCACACAAUAACACGAAGCCACAUAAAAUUUCAUAAUAAAAAUAAAUAGUUUCAUUUACUAAUGUCAUAACAUUAGUGAAGAAGUUGGAACAGUACAGAGCUUCUAAAAUCUGAUUAUUACAUAACAUUUUCAAUUACCCCAACCCUGAAUAACAUCAAGCUCCCUGCUCCUAGUGGUCUUAAUCAUCUGUAGGAAAAAAAGUAGAUAAAAAGGUAUGAGCUACACAGCUCAGUAAGUAACCAGGUACUAUCUUAUUGGAUCAAGUACAAUUAUGCCAAUGCAGUGAUUAAAAAGCCAACAGUUGAUGUAAAAUAAAACA